GACGAACGCUGGCGGCGUGCUUAACACAUGCAAGUCGAACGGAAGGGCGCUGCUCUUGUGUGUUUCUCGUUUGCCGAACGCGUGAGUAUCACGUGUGUAACCUCCCCUUGACUUUGUGAUAACUUCAGGAAACUGGGGCUAAUAUCGGAUAUAAGCUCCUGCUGCAUGGUGGGGGUUGGAAAGUUUCGGCGGUUGGGGAUGGACUCGCGGCUUAUCAGCUUGUUGGGGAGGUAGUGGCUUACCAAGGCUUUGACGGGUAGCCGGCCUGAGAGGGUUACCGGCCACAUUGGGACUGAGAUACGGCCCAGAAUCGUACGGGAGGCAGCAGGGGGGAAUAUUGCACAAUGGGCGGAAGCCUGAUGCAGAGACGCUGCGAGCGGGAUGACGGCCUUCGGGUUAAAAACCGAUUUCGCCUGUGACGAAGCGUGAGUGACGGUAAUGGGUAAAGAAGCAACGGCUAACUACGUG
rnacentral:rRNA from 1 species